UAGAACUAAAUAAUUUGAGAACUAACUCUUCGCAAACUUUUGUUGAAAAAGAGAAAUAUUUAUAAUAAGCAGAAUAUAAGUUGAAAUGAAAUAGUGUCAAUUGGUGCUUAUCUUAAACUCCUUUGGUUGUAUAUCAUUUUGGCGAGCUGAUGUUACUCUAUCUACACCAUCAUUUAUCAAUUGUAUACCUGGUUAUUCCAAAAUAGAGCCAAUGGUAG
rnacentral:lncRNA from 1 species